GGAGCAAUUGACUGAGUAGUCACUGCCCCACCCCUGCCUGGAGCCUCACACAUGACUCGCCUCCUCUCAGUGACCACAGGUGAGACGUGGUCUUGUAACACAGUGGUUAAGAAUGUGACUUUGGAGCCAGCCUGCUAGGGGCUGAAUUCUGACUCAGCCAUUUACUAACUGUGUGACCUUAGAUGAGGAAGCUGAGGCACAGAGCUGUGAAGUACCUUGGCCAAGGUCCCCAUGAUGGAAGUCUGGGCUUGGCCUCCAUAAAGCCUCUCACAUGUGCUCAUGGCAAAGACUUCAGGACUUCUCUCCUCCGUCCACUCCUUCAAGAACCUUGUGAGCACCAGACACAUUCACACAUACACAAGGAGAAAAAGAGGCAGUUGUCUGGCCUCUUCCUGAUUCUGACUCCCUCUCCAGAGGAUUUAACUCAUUUUUCUACAGAGGAUUUAACUGAAGUCACAGAAUUUUCCACACUCCUUGACAGAGGUGCUUAACCCUUAUCCAUCAGCAUUCUCAGACAGCACCUCCGGUUAGGGACAGUAUCUGACCGUCCGACAUCCCUGCAGCCCCCAUGUGUCACACAGACUCAGCCUCAGGUAGAUGGUUUCCGUAGAUGGUGGCUUUCUUUGGACCCUUGACAUCAACCAGUUACUAUUUGCUCCUGCAACCACCGCUGUACUUUCUGUCUCUAUGAACUUGACUACUCUAGACACCUCAUGGGACCAGAUGUGCAGAGGUAAUGAAUACCAGGGAAUCAGGAAACCACUGGAUCAGUUCUUUGAGCCACAGAACAACACUCAUCCCAGCAGCUGGGAAGCUAUCUGCAAAA
ensembl:lncRNA PCBP1-AS1 PCBP1 antisense RNA 1